AAAGGAAUUGACGGGGGCCCGCACAAGCGGUGGAGCAUGUGGUUUAAUUCGAAGCAACGCGAAGAACCUUACCAAGGCUUGACAUGGAGACGACACGAGUAGAGAUACUCUUUCCUUCGGGACGUCUCACACAGGUGGUGCAUGGUUGUCGUCAGCUCGUGUCGUGAGAUGUUGGGUUAAGUCCCGCAACGAGCGCAACCCUUAUCUUCAGUAGCCAUCGGGUCAAGCCGGGCACUCUGGAGGGACUGCCGUGGAUAACACGGAGGAAGGUGGGGAUGAGGUCAAAUCAUCAUGCCCCUUAUGUCUUGGGCUACACACGUGCUACAAUGGGCGCAACAAAGUGAGGCGAGCAAGUGAUUGUAAGCGAAACACAAAAAAGCGCCCUCAGUUCGGAUUGCAGUCUGCAACUCGAGUGCAUGAAGUUGGAAUCGCUAGUAAUCGCGAAUCAGCAUGUCGCGGUGAAUACGUUCCCGGGCCUUGUACACACCGCCCGU
rnacentral:rRNA from 1 species